UACGUAGGGCGCAAGCGUUGUCCGGAAUUAUUGGGCGUAAAGAGCUCGUAGGCGGUCUGUCGCGUCGGCUGUGAAAACCCGGGGCUCAACCCCGGGCCUGCAGUCGAUACGGGCAGACUAGAGUGUGGUAGGGGAGACUGGAAUUCCUGGUGUAGCGGUGGAAUGCGCAGAUAUCAGGAGGAACACCGGUGGCGAAGGCGGGUCUCUGGGCCGUAACUGACGCUGAGGAGCGAAAGCGUGGGGAGCGAACAGG
rnacentral:rRNA from 1 species